CUGUUUUAGUUGAAUGACAUUGACUGGACUGUUAUCACCUGUAGCAAUAAACAAUUUCUAAUUAGUUCUUAAAUGAUAAGUUGCCCAGACUUCUGUCAUUAAUAGUGAAUGAAGUUGAUGUAAUUAACUGGUGGCAGCUGAACAACAUGUAGCUUGUUUCUUGGUGAAACAACCAAGGGACAGGCGGGAACGUGACAAGCAGAUUUAGAGACAGAGAUGUUUUAAGGCAGGCUUCUAAAACGUGGUGCCCUCCAGAUGUGUUGGAAAACAAUUUCCAUAAGCCUUUACUAUUGGCCGUACUGGCUGUGGCUUCUGGGGACCUGAAAUCUGAAACAUCUUAGUAUACCAUCCCUGCUGUUUAUAAACUGCUUAACUCUUCCAUUUUAUUCCUGUAGGAAUGUGGGGAGGGACUGCUACAAGGAUGCAUUUGGGAUACAGAAGAAGGAAGCGAGACCAUAAAGAAGAGAAAACAAUGAGAAACAGAAUGCACAGAUCUCACCUCCUCCACCCCUUGAUCAUCAAUUUUCUCAUUUGCCAAAUGAGGAUAACGGGUGGAAUUAGCUGUGACUCUAAACCUGCAAAGGACACCAAGAACACUUACAUUUUACUCCUUCCCUCUCCCUCUACAAUUUCUAGCACUAUUUGUCCACAUUGUGAUGCCAUGAUCUCCUCCCCACAAGCAGUGACCAAUGACAAUGCAGAGUGGGACUUGAAAAAUACAGAAUUGAAUUUUUUUUUAAAAAAAGUUUCUUACAUUUGUAUUCCACCAUUGAACAAGGAGCUCAAGGCAGAAUGCAUGAUCCUCUUCACAAUAUUACCCUCAUUGAACAAGGAGCUCAAGGCAGAAUGCACGAUCCUCUUCACAAUAUUACCCUCACAACAAACCUGCAAGGUAACUAAGCUAGAAGAUAGUGGCCAGACAGUCUUGCUGGUGGUCUUUUCAUAGACAGCUAGUUGGCCACAGUAGGAAUUGAAUCAAAGACUCUAUUUCUGUGAUCCAGCAUGCCUAUUAAUACCUUUUGGCAUUCUUAGGACUGGCUUCAGUGAGCUUUAUGCCUGAGUAGAGGUUUGGAGUAUGGUCUCUCCACUCCUACUCCAUGCUCCAUUUCAGAUUGUUGUGAUUUCAGAAAUUAAGGUACAUUUUAAAGCUGUUACAACAGGCUGUCAGUUUCAAUAGAAGCUAAAAACACAGCAUUGGCACUAUCCUACCUUUAAGUCCUAUUGUACAGUUAGUGAGAUAGUGUGCACACAACAUUUUGAGCAUACAACAUGUAUAAAUGCCAUAUUUUUGUUCUUAAUAAGUUUCACAUUUAUAGGAAAUUGGCUUUAUGCUGUUUAUGAUAUUUUAGGAUAUUUGUAAGCUGCCCCGAGUAGAUGCUGUCUAGGGGUGUGGGGUAGAAAUCAAAUAAAUAAACAAACAAACAAACA
rnacentral:lncRNA from 1 species